UAAAUAAUUAAUUUUAUUAAAAUAAAGUACUAAAUAAUAACAUUCUCUUCGAUUCACGGGUAAACUACAUAGCCAGGACAUGUGUUAAGUACCAUUUAUGUGCAACUUUUGCCCAGUUUCUCCAGCCAGGAACUGAUGAAACUUUCCACUCACUUCAAUUGCACUUUGUCCAGCAGUUUUAACAAUGCCUGUGUCAUUCAUCAUCUCCCUCCAUCUGUUUGCUUCUUCCCAAUUACCACACGAUGCAUAUAAGUUUGCAAACAUCAUUAGCUCCCCGUCGCUAAGGUAGCGGGCUUUAGAAGAAAUUAGCUUCAUCACUCUCUCACCAGUCUCAAGAUCCUGAUGAAUCACACAGGCACUAAGCAAUGCACCCAGGAUGGAUUCUCCUGGUUCAAAUGGCAUUGCUUCAAUUACCUGAUAUGCUUGAUCAAGAUGCCCAGCCCUUCCCAGAAGAUCAACCAUGCAUCCAUAGUGCUCCAACUUGGGAGAUAUUCCAAAGUCCUCUUGCAUGGAAUCAAAUAGGUGGCAACCCUCUUGUACCAGACCUGAAUGGCUACAGGCAUUGAGUAGGCCAAUGAAGGUAAUAUCAUCAGGCCUUACAAGCUUACUUCUCAUCUUGUCAAAGAGUUCUAAAGCAGCAUAUCCUUGACCAUGAAGUGCAAGCCCAGAGAUCAUAGCAUUCCAACAAAAAAUAUCCUUAACUUGGGAUUUAUGGAACACUUGUAGAGCUUGCUCUAUGCUUCCACAUUUGGCAUACAUCUCUAUCAAAGCUGUUGUCACAUGGGGACUUGAUGCAAGCCCACUAUCAAUGGCAUAUAUGUGGAUUUUAGUUCCUGUUUCUAGAGAUCCCAAAUGCGCACAUGCGGAUAAAACACUAGUCACUGUUAGAUAAUCUGGAAUGCAAUUUGUUGUCUUCAUUUCAUCAAACAAAUCAAGAGCCUCAUUGAAAUGUUCACUUUGUAAACACCCUGUGAUCAUUGUGUUCCAUGUGAUGGGAUUUUUCACUGGCAUUUCCCUGAACAAUGCAUGAGCCUUCUCCAUAUAUCCAGCUCGAGUAUAUGCUGAUAUCAUUGAAUUCCAAGAGACAGUAUCCUUCACCGUCAUUUUAUCAAAGAUGCUUCUAGCAGAUAAUGCUUCCCCACAGCUUGAGUACCCAGAAAUCAUGAUAUUAAAAGAUGAUUGGUCCUUUAAAGGCAUCAAAUUGAACAGAUGAAUAGCAUCUUCCAUCUGGCCAUUAGAAGCAUGUGCAUCAAACAUGGAGUUCCACGCAACCAAAUCUUUGACAGGCAUCUUUGCAAACACUUUACAAGCAUCAGCAAUGUGAUGAAGAGUCCCAUACAUGUUUAUCAAAGCAGUUUGGACAAAAGCAUGAGCAGCUAAACCAGUUUUUAUCGUCUGACCGUGAAGGGCAAAGCCAAUAUGAGAGACACAACUCUUCCCAGCUGCUUUGAGUACAACAGGAAAUGUAUAAUUAUCAACAUCAAAGCCAAGUACUUGCAUAUUCACGUAAGUUAGAAUAGCUUGUUCUGCGUCCCCCAUGAGCAUGUACUUCUUGAUAAUCUCAUUCCAUUUUCGUACUUCUAGGGAAGGCGCGAAGCAGUUGCAGGCUAAAACCGGCAUUUCAGUGCUUCAAAAGUUCAGCUUCCUCUCUCCCUCUUUUACCUGCCACCUUUUGUCUUCUCCUCUUUCACAUCUCUGUUUGAAACCAGCAGCAAAAGAUCAAGUCCAAUGGGAAAAAAAGAUAUCUUACAACUUACUAGCAAAAGAUAAACAUCAAAGUCAAAGUCUUUCAAAGAUUCUUUAAGGAUGAACUAUAAAGGUGAAUAUAAAUUAAAGAUAAAGGACAAAAAGAAGAUAUCAUCCACAUAGAAAAUUGGGCCCCCGUAGCAAACAAAUCAACUUUCAUACACGACAAUUCAAUCUUUGUAACUUUUAAAAAUUUGUUUAGAUAUUUGCAUGCUUGGACCUUUUUUCUGUAUAUAUAAGAAAACCACCUCCACCAGCCCACAGAGAAUGAAAAACAAAAACUUAAUGAGAAUUAAGCUAAAAAUAUAUUCUUACGCAGUGAUAAUCAGUAAAAUUUAAAAAUCCAUUAAACUAAUCUCAAAAUCCUAAUUACUUGUCCAGGGCAAGUCCAUUGCUUCUAUUGAAACAAGAAAUUCACCAGCUUAGCAAUUGUGAAAGAACAAACAACGGAGUACAGGUCAAAAAGAGCUUUACAACAUGAUGUUGUUCUUUGAUUUUUCCUGCAAUUAAAAGAACAAACAAGACCAUGUCUAACAGAGUGUAUCAUUAGCAGUAACCAUAUAAUCCAGAGAAGGCUUACUCAGAUCUGAGAUUUUGGGGUCAGUUCCUUCAAUUUGCAGAAAGAGAGACCGUGUGGACACUAAGAGUUUGGGCUCUCAUCUUGUUAAUUAUGAUGGUGUUGAAGAACUGACAUAUUGCAUCAGCAUUCCCUCAAUUGGCCAUUUUUUUCAAUUCCAAAUUAGACAUGUAAAAUUAAUCAGAAUUUUCUCUUUUAAAAACAUGGAAAAAAAAUAAUCAUAUCAUAAAUUUGAAGGCAUGAAAAGCCUAAUAAUUAACACAAGAAUAAUCAACACCUUUUUCCCCUUUAAACUGCCAAACUUAAAACUGUCAUACUGACAAUCUUCUAUGGCGAAUUGAGAACUAGCAAACCAUAAUCCCAACUGCCCUGCUCCUUAUACCAGCCCACAAUAACACCUUAUCUCUUCAUUGAAUCCUUUACCACCACACAUACAAUCCACACCACCACCAGUUACCUCAUACAAACCUUCUCCUCUGCCUCCCUCUAAGCAGCAACCACCUUUCAAUUCAAUAACAAGAACAUUACUAAGUUUUUCACUUAAAACUGUUAUACUAUACAUCUUCUAUGGUUAAUUGAGAAAGAGCAAACCACAAAACCUCAACAAUGACAAGAAGAAGCAAACACAUUUGCCCCGCCUGCCCCCUCCUUAUACCAGCUCACAUUACCUCCUUAUCUCUUCCUUGAAUCCUUUACCACUGCACAUAAAAUCCACACCACCACCAGUUACAUCAGACAAACCUUCUCUUCUUCUUCCCUCUGAGCAGCAACCACCUUUCAAAAUUCAAUAACAAGGACAUUACUAACUCUUUCAUUUCUUUCUUUUUUUUCGCCUUCAUUGUAUAUAGCUCCAAAUAACAUAAUAAUUUUUAAAUCCUAAGGCCAAGGUUUAUCAUUAUUGUUAUUAUUUUAUCUUGAAGGAAGCUAUAUUGUGUGGCUUAGAAUUUGUGAUAACAUAUAUGGGGCAAAUUUUGGGCUCCAGCAGUGCCUUCUCAAGUAUUAUUUAAAAUAACAUUUUUCAAGGCAAACAGCCCAUAAAGUUUCUUUACCAACUAAAUAGUUGAAUUACUAGGAACAUGAAGGAACUCAAGAUAUGCAAUAAUGUUAACUAUUAGUGUCUAUAGUUGAAAUUCUAUAGUUAGUCCGUUACUCAGUUGGCCCUUGAAAACAUCAAACUUCUCUGUUGUCAAUUUCUUUAGUAUACUGAAUAUGCAAAAGAAUUUCAGCACGUUAUGAUAUCACAACAAGCGCCUUCCUUAUUGACACUUGCCAUAACACGAACAUAACUUCAGGUACACUCAACAACGCAAAAAUAUUCACUAAUUAGAAGAAAGAAGCAUGACAACCUUGAAUUCCAAAUAAAAUUUCAAUUUUCUUGCUUCAAUAAAUUUAAAUCCCGUUUCAACUUUUCCACUCAUCUUUAAUGGGAACAACAAUGUCAACUAAACCUCGUACUUAAUCAUAUGAGCAGUAUGGUUAAAGCAUCAUCAAUAAACAAAUAAACUGUGACUAUUCUUUUGAGCAAUGGAUUUUACCUUUUGGUUGGUAGUGAUUUGAGUCCUUGCAAACUGGAAGUGUAGUUGGUCCUGGUCAUUAUUUAACUCCUCUCCAAUGUCCAAAUGGCAAUUCCCCAAUCUAUUGCAGAAUAGCAGCCAGCUAGAACAAACAAAUCAUGACAUACAUAGUUUUCAAUGAAAUCAUAAAAUGCACCCUGAUUGAAGAAAAUUAUGAAAACUGGUUGACGACCGGAUUUCAUGUAAUGUGGGUUCUUUAUGGGCAUUGCUGAACUCAUCGCAAGCCCACCUAAAUCCCACAAAUGGCUGUUUGUCCAUAUUUACAGCAGGUACACAAACUUGAGUGCCCCGCCAAGAAUUAGGACAGCUACUGGAACAUCAAGACCAACAUUUCGUCCAAAAAAUCUCAUCUUCAUUAAAAAAAUUAAAUAUGCUUUUCUUUAGACAGCUCCCAUCUCGUCUAUGUAUGAAUACGAGGUUAGGUUUUUAAUGCAGAAACCAUAAAACAGAGUAAGGGCAGAGAGACUGAACAUCAGAGAUAAGAGUUGAAGUGGGAGAUAGAGAACCUGGCGCGAGAGCACCCCGUCCACCAGAGGUCUCAACUCUCAAGCUUAUCACUGUUCGAGCUGCUUCCAUCUCUCAAAACUACUAACAUGUUGAAAGAAAGGAUUUUGGAAAUAUGGUAGACGACGAGUCGCUCGGCAGAUGAAACAAAUGAAAGCAGAUCCUUGAACCAUUCUUGGUUAGGC
rnacentral:misc_RNA from 1 species